UUAGUUGAGUUGAGUUGAGUUUAUUAUCAUGAAUAUGGCAAUGGCAUUUGUUAGGACAUGUUUAUGGUUCAAUCAAAUCUUAUUGAAUUCUCACUUAUUGACAUCAGUUUUCUUCCUUCACCUAGUGGUCACAGGAGUUGAUGAAAAUGCUUUAUUUUGUUGAGCACUUAUCAUCGUUUUGCUGGGUUGGUUGACCACUGGUCGAAAUCUCUCUCAUUUUUUUUUUUUU
rnacentral:misc_RNA from 1 species